rnacentral:rRNA from 1 species
CCUACGGGGUGCAGCAGUGAGGAAUAUUGGUCAAUGGCCGCAAGGCUGAACCAGCCAAGUCGCGUGAGGGAUGACGGUCCUAUGGAUUGUAAACCUCUUUUGUCAGGGAGCAAAGGGCGCCACGUGUCGCGCUUUGCGAGUACCUGAAGAAAAAGCAUCGGCUAACUCCGUGCCAGCAGCCGCGGUAAUACGGAGGAUGCGAGCGUUAUCCGGAUUUAUUGGGUUUAAAGGGUGCGCAGGCGGAAUUUCAAGUCAGCGGUAAAAUUUCGGGGCUCAACCCCGUCGUGCCGUUGAAACUGGCGUUCUUGAGUGAGCGAGAAGUAUGCGGAAUGCGUGGUGUAGCGGUGAAAUGCAUAGAUAUCACGCAGAACUCCGAUUGCGAAGGCAGCAUACCGGCGCUCAACUGACGCUCAUGCACGAAAGCGUGGGUAUCGAACAGGAUUAGAUACCCGUGUAGUC